AAUGUGUUAGGGUUACCGACCCAACUCUACCCAUACUCUACCCUUCUCUCUCCUCCCGACCCUACUCUCUCCAUUCUCUACCCUUUCCUCUCCUCCCACCAACUCUCGCCAUUUUUUUUUUCUUAGCAGACCCCACAAAAAAAAAAAAAAAAUUUCUCCCUCAUUUUCCUUUCACCCCCAGAGCAUUGUUGAGCCCACCUACUCCAUCUCCUUCGCCCCUGAUCUUCUUAAGCCCGUUUCUCCAUCUUUGGUGACUAUUAGGUUUAUAUUAUUUAUCUUCUUUUUUUUUUUUCAGAUUUUGUUUCUUCAAUCCUUCCUUCUGUCUCUAACCAUUCAUCUUUUUCGAUCUCAGAUCUCGCAUUCCGUUUCCAUCUCCUUCCCUAUCGCAGUUGACAAGGUUUGCAAAUAAAUUUUUUCGUCUCUGAUUUAUUGCAGUUUUUAUUUAUUUUUUUCUUUACUGUAAUUUUUAACAUUUUUAUUUACUGCAGUUUCAAUUUUUUUUAAUUUACUGCUAUUUUUAUUUUUUUGCUCUGAUUAUUAAAGAUUUAACAUUUGUGUUGUACCUAAUCAUGUUUUUUUAUUUACUGCAUUUUCUAAUUUUUUGCCCUUUAUUUUUGAUGAUGGUGGCUUUUUUUUCCGAUGAAAAAGUUUGGGGUGCGGUAGGGUGUGCGUAGGGGUGGGGUAUUAGAAUUGAUUCUUCUAGGUUUCAAUCGUGGUUUUGCAAUGGUGUUGUAAAAUGGUUUAACUUUGUAUACAUGAUGUUACCAUGUCCAGUCAAGUAGAAAAUUUGCUUUGUUGUAUUCAAAUGCACAAACUGUGUUUGGAUUUAGAUUAUUAACACAUGAUGCACAAACUGUGUUUGGAUUUGGAUUAUUAACACUAAUGCCAUGUUUGUUCUUUAUUUAUUAACAAAUGGUGAUUUAAGAAAAUUAUAUAGUUUCUUUUUAAUGUAGAAAAUUUUUAGUUUAGUUUAUUUGGCACAGAUAUUAGUAAUUUUUUAUAAUUCUUAUUGAAUCUUCUUCAGUUUCAGAUGGACAAUAGAGAUCUCCUUUUGAAUUUACAUCGUGCUAAUCAAGUUGGAUUUGUUAUUAUGGUGGUGUGUGUAAUAUUCUUUUUACGAUUACGUGAAAGAGAUCGGACAUUAAGCAGAGAGCCAUCUAAAUUGAGGGAUUUACAUAGAAAGGCUCACAUGCGUAGAAUAUUAUGUGGAGGAAGAAGAAAUUGCGUGGAUUAUGUUCGAAUGGGACCUGAGACCUUUUUAACACUUGCUACAAUAAU
rnacentral:lncRNA from 1 species